rnacentral:lncRNA from 1 species
AAGGGUUUAUUGGGGGUCCAGCAUGCUGGGGCUCCAAGCCUACCUCGAAGAGGUAAAGAGCAAAGAGCCCCAAGAACAGCUUGAGCAGAGCUUAUAUACAUUCUUUGAAAAGGGCAGGGACUUCACAUACAACAUAACAAAUCACCUAGGUAGGGGUGAUUGGUCAGUACAAAAGGGGUAUUCAUUUGAACUGAUUGGUUUAAGCCAAGAGGGGUGUACAUGCUGAAUUACAUGGUUUCCCAACUUGUUAUCAACCACCAUAAACUGCUGGGAGGGUUAUCUGGCAUUCCAGGUAUUUCCCUGUCUCAUGCUGAUUGGUGGCUGCUAGGGGGCUGCUAUGGAUCCCCACCUAGCCUGACUGAGUCAGGGACACCUGGCACAACAGAUCUCUCCUGUAGAUAAACAACUUAGCAGGGUGGGAAUGUGCCUAGGAGUGCUCUGUGGGUUUUUCCAAGGACAAAGGUCAUGUCCCUUCCUUGGACAGGCUUUGCUCUGAGGUAGAGGCUGGUUUUUCAAUUUAAGUUCCAAACUGUAGCAUACUUCCUCACUUCCAAAGGCUGAUAUCCAUCUCACAAUACAAAAUGUGUUUAGCUCAUCUCCGAGAGUCUUCAAAGUAUGAACGUCCUAGCAUUGCUCAAAAGUCCGAGUCCAAAGUCUCCUGGUAGACUCAAGGCAAACCCUUCAUUGUGUACCUGUAAAAAUCAAGACGUAAGUUACAUACUUCCAAGAUUCAAUGAUAGGACAGGGUAGACAUUUCCAUUCCCAAAAGGAGGGAUGAGGCAAAAAAAGGGAAGGGUCAGACCAAAGCAAGACUAAAACUCAGCAGGACAAUGUUAAUUUCUGUAGCUCCAUGUGUGUUUGGUAUCUGGGACACAUGAUGUGAUGUGAGCUCCAAAGGACUUGGGCAGCUCUGUCCCUAGGCCUUGCUAAUUGCAGCCAAGAUGGCCAUUUUGGGGGCUAGCUCUGCCUACUCCUUGCAACUUCUCUUGGCAGGCAUUCUACCUUCUUGGCAUCCAUAACUCCCUGGGAUCUCCAUUGCAGCUCUGGCCUCACUCUUGUGGUUUCCUACAUUGCCCUUUCAGGGGCUGCUGGCAGAAACUCAGAUCCUGCCUCACACUGCCUGGUCUAUCAGGCUUUCCUUUGAAAUCCUGGUGGAUGCUUCUAGCAUCAUGUGGACCAAGCCAAGGUCUGCUGCUGACCUGACUCAUUCCAGAGACCCCUUGAACCAUGGCUGUAGCAGCCUGAGCACCUUGAAAGCUGAUCACAGGAAACAAUCCUGGGGAAGCGAUUUGCUAGGCCACUCUGUAUGAGUAGUGUCCUG